CAGAUGGAAUAUAACCGCGCUGCUGUUUCCUGAUGAAAGAAUUCAGCGGUGAGAGAAAGUCCGGGCUCCUUCGGAAAGAAUGCCGGGUAAUAACCGGGCACAAACUGGCAGCUGCAUAAGUUCUUGCACAACCCAGCGCGUGACAGAUAGUGCAACAGAAAUUGUACCGCCCGCCGCAAGGCGAGUAAGGGUGAAAAGGCGGUGUAAGAGACCACCGGUCUGGUCGGUAACGGCCGACGCUUGUAAACCUCAUUCGGAGCAAGAUUAAGCAGCAGUUAUGUUAUUCCGAGCAAUACUGCGGGUAAAUCGCUGGAGCCGUAGGGUAACUUACGGUGCGGAUAGAUGGUUAUUAGCAGCGUUUUGUUUUCAGAACGUUGCGAGACAGAACCCGGCUUAUUGUUCCAUCUGUUUU
rnacentral:RNase_P_RNA from 1 species